CCUUGGAUAUGGCUAGCACGGCUGCCUUGUUCUGGGGCUCCUAUCCCCACAGAGUGAUUUGACUACUGGUGGACUUCCAUUCCUACCCAGAAUUUACCUGAGUCCUGGAGAUCUGAACUCUGGUCCCUGUGCCUGUAUGGAAAAUGCCUUACCUGCUGAGCCACCACCCCAGCCUCUGUGGGCGUUUGAGCCUGUGGGCUGUGUUGGAGACUUCUGUUUGCUGUCAAAUGUAAUCCUCACUAUGUUGCUAUUGUUAGCCUCAUUCUCCAGACACUGGCUGCUGUGGUUUGAAUGUGAGGUGUCCACCACAGACUCACGUACUGAACACUUGGACUCCAGAUGGUGGUUACUGUUCGGGAAGGCAGUGGAACCUUUAGGCAGUAGAGCCUUGCUGGAGGAAGUAGGUCACUGGGGGGUGGGCCUUGAGGGCUUAUAGUGGAGCCCUACUUCCUGUUCAUCUUCCUUUGCUUCCCCUACAGCUACAAUGUAACCAGCUGCUGCCUCACCUUACCUCCAUGGCUUCCCCGACACUGCCUGGCAAAAUAAACCCUUUCUGCCUGAAGUAACAACACACCUCUUCAGGGACAGGAAGUGACUUGUUUAAGUUCACGAGGACUUGGGCUAAGGUGAUUAGUGCGGCUCUCAGCCUUGGCUAGAGGUAGCCAUGCAGAGACUCACAGCUGGGCAGAGUGCGGAGAGAAAGUGACUGCUGAAUGCUCAGCCCUCAAUGAGGCGUCUCCAUCAAUCCCCCAAGGCUCGCUCCAUAUCCCGGGGGAAGAGGCAGAACGGAUGUGAGCGCCAGUUGAUGGGGAGGAGCGCUGAGAAAUGCUGUCUUCCGGACAUGGCCUGGCCAUGGCACUCAUGGACUCCCUGCCGCUACGGUUGCCAGGACAACACGGAGCCAACAAGGACAGCGAAUCUUCCCAGUAGGCAGCGCUAACUGGACCCAACAGAUUGGGUGAAGCAAUGCAAGGCAUAGCUCAGAACGGACUGGACCUCACCUGGGGGCUGUUCUUGCACCUGAGUAGUGAGCAACAAGUGAUGGUUGGUACAGCUGCAGAGAUCAUGGUCCCCAAGGCCUGAUCCCUGGACCCCCAGCAUCAGUGCCACCCAGGAACCUGCUAGAGCUGAGAACGCUCAGCCUCCACCUGCAGUCUCCUGCCAUGGUCCAUUUUGUGUGGCUGCAAUAAAGUACAUGAUGCCGGGUGAUAGAUAAAGAAGAGUGGCUAGUCCAGGUCAUGAUACGGUGGCUGAGAAGGUCACACAGCAUGGCGUUGCUGUCUGCAAAGGGUCCCUUGACCAUAUCACAAGUAUGAUGGAAAAACACCAGGAGGAAGUGUGUGUGAAAGACUCAGGGGGAGGUGUGACGCUUGCGUCAGAACAGCCUGUUCUUGCAGGAACCAGGGUAAGAACUCACUCCUGUGAGAGAAGCAUUUUUGUCUCAAUGACUCGAAAGCAUCCCAACACAUGCACUGGGCAUCCAGGCUCAACAUGAGAGUUUUUG